rnacentral:rRNA from 1 species
CCCAUGAAGUUGGAUUCGCUAGUAAUCGCGCAUCAGCCAUGGCGCGGUGGAAUACGCUCCCGGGCCUUGUACACACCGCCCGUCAAGCCAUGGGAGCCGGGGGUGCCUGAAGUUCGUGACCGCAAGGAGCGACCUAGGGCAAAACUGGUGACUGGGGCUAAGUCGUAACAAGGUAUC